CCUACGGGGGGCAGCAGUGAGGAAUAUUGGUCAAUGGGCGAGAGCCUGAACCAGCCAAGUCGCGUGAGGGAGUACUGCCCUAUGGGUUGUAAACCUCUUUUGUCGGGGAGCAAAGAGACCACGUGUGGUCAAAAGCGAGAGUACCCGAAGAAAAAGCAUCGGCUAACUCCGUGCCAGCAGCCGCGGUAAUACGGAGGAUGCGAGCGUUAUCCGGAUUUAUUGGGUUUAAAGGGUGCGUAGGCGGGACGGUAAGUCAGCGGUAAAAAUGCGGAGCUCAACUCCGUCGAGCCGUUGAAACUGUCGUU
rnacentral:rRNA from 1 species